GCCAUCUUGGACUUUCUGGAACCAGCUCCGCAUUCCGGGUCUCAGGGACGGUUUCAGGGCUCGUGCCUGUCUGUCGGGGGGAAGUCUCACGACCUAGAAACGGGUCUGCGAGGGGCCCAAUGUGGCCGUAAGGAGCCCACUUUCUGGGAGCCGCGGAGAGCCCCCUCUCACGUCUUGUGCCACGCAGACUCAUCAAUUGAAAAUCCUGAAACUGCGCUGGGGUCUAGACGUGGCCCAAAUUCACGUUGGAAGUUACUCUGCCUGGCUUCCGGGUGCCAAGGAGCUUGUUAGUACUUAUGAGCUGUUCAUUAGCAUCAUCCGAGGGAAUCAGCCCCGACUCUGGCAGGAAGGGAGGGCUGGGGCUGCCGAGGGAGGGAGGCUGCCUUCGCCCUGAACACUUGUUUGUCUAAAUAGCUGGGCGUUUCGUCAGCCACCCUGCUGCUGGUGGAGCCUGUGGCGCCUCUCAACACAGCCUGGGGCUGGGGGCGAAGGGGCCUGGGAUGGGGCCGGCAGCCGCCUCUCCGCUCUUCCUCCAGGCGCUGAAUGCAAGUGAAGAGAAAACAUUUCCGUGUAAGCCCCUGUCAUCCUCAUACUGAGCAGAUUGAAGCCCCGAGGUGUUUUUCCAACUCUGUUUUCAACUGCAGUACACCUGAAUGUUUUAAUCAGGAGACUGUGGAGGGCCAAGGACAGGGAAGUUUUCGCCGUUGACCUCCCUCUGCUUUUGGGCCCCGCUCCCUGAGUGGGCAGGGGAGCCGCGUCUCCUCCGGCUCAGGGAGCACGCACAGUCAUUUCCCACCUGGCCUGCCAGCCCACGGAGCUCCUUCUCGCUUUUCUUCUUCAGACCAAUAUAGCCCUCCUGGGUUGAGAAGGAAGCACCAGAUGGCCAGAAAAAAAUGGUCAUUCUGCAAAGAUUCUGCCUGAGAAGAAAGCAGUCAAAGCUAGACGCCCCCCAUUCUGCAUCCGAUGAAGGAGCCACAGUAGGCUUAGCUGGGGCUGCAUCUCUUUCCUCCUCUGUCGGGGUUCAGACCUCUGAUGCUGCUUGGGCUGCCUGACAGUGGUUACCUGUAAGGGGCGUAGGAGAAUUCCUUCCAGGGAGGGAGCCAGGCGGUGAGCCAAGCCAGGAGGAAGAUGUUAGGCAUCGCAGGCCAGAGGUGAUUCUGACUUCAGCCCGGGAGAGUCUGUCCUCAGCCUGGGCUCUUGGACACAUCAUCUGGGCCACAGAGAGAGGAAGGGCUGCUAGUAAAAAAUAUAUAUAAAAUAAAAUAUUUUUUAAAAAAUUCCAGCUUUGUCCUCCACUUGCUCACUGACUUUUGGUCAAGCUUUCUGACCUCUCUGUGCUCAGCUCCCUUAUCUGUCAAAUGAUGAGACAAGGUUCCUCUCUCCCAGGGUUGCUAUGAGCUCAUACAAGUUAAUGUUUGUAAUGUGUUCAGAGGGUUUUAGUGUGAAGUGUUUGUUAAAUAAAUGAAACCCAAAACAUCUGUAAGACUUAAGGGCCCAGUAACACUAUCUUGGGACCUUUUAACAGCUCACAGCAGGGAAAAGCAGCACUGCCCCGCCCCUUCACGCAGACCACAGCUCCAGCGCAUCCAUCCGAGAGCAGCACCGAGCACACUAGCUGCGGAGUCCAGGGGUCUCCCACAGCUGGGGGGACCUUCUGGGGAUGCAGAGACACCUGGGACUAGGAGGUGGGCACUGAGAGAAAGCCCUGUAUGGCCGGGUAAGAGGCAGCAACUUGACCCAUGAAAAUGAAGAACGAGAGGGCAGACCACACACACUGUUCUACUUCACGUGCCUAGCUGACACCUGACUUCCCCAGGGAGAGAGGGAAGGCGGGGAGAAUGGCCUCACCCUGCCUGCCUGGCUGCCGGGGCGCUGUGAGGAGCGAAUGAGAAAGCACCUGUUCAGGAAGAAAAAAGUUGCAAAUAACUCUUUGCUCACCUCAGGAACUUCCUCCUGAAAACCAUUUAAAUGAAGACAUGACUGUGCAGCUUUUCAAUAAUUAACAGUAAACCACUAUUUGCUUUCCAAGAUUCUUCAAAACCCUCACCUAGAAACCCUGGCUUUUCUGUGUUCGCCAAUCUUCAUUACAGUGCGAUCCGUACUCAAUUCUAAUCAAGCUCCUGCACAGAAAGACUUGUUUUAAACAAGCUUUUAGACCUCAAAACCUCAAAACUCCCAAACCUCUUACCUUUGAGAUGCUACUGAGACUCUGUCAAGUUUGUGAGCUCACUUAUCAUCAUAAGCAGACAACUCAGUUUUGCCUUUUCAACUGGUGGUUUUGGUGGUAUUUUUGGAAAGCCAGUGUUUGACAAAGGAUAUGCUGAGAAAUAGCAUCUGUUUUUCUGGGUCAAUUAGGAGAAUAUUCAUUGCCUCACCAGAAAGACAUUUUCCUUUUUAUCUUUUUUCCUCUUUUACCGAAUUCAUGGCGUUAGGAUGCAUUUUGCAUGUUCUUGUACGCCAUCUCCAGUGUGUGGAAGGAGGAAAGUAUUGUGGCUGAUACUGUCAGCGUCCCACCCAUGUCCCCUGGACCACAGGUCCUGCCAACUACACAUUGCUGGAGUCUACACUGGUGCCUGAGAGUUCUGCCCUCUCUAGUUCACAUCUAGGGAAGGCUGCAAGACCCCUGCUUCCUUGGUCAGCCAGAGGCACUAAGAAAUUAAUACGUCCCCAGCAAGACCACUCAACCAAGGACUCAGGAAUCAGCACGCAAAUAUCCCAGCUCCCCGGCCUGCAGGUGGAAUGCUGUUUCAGACAUGUGUUUUAUACCUUUUCUCGGAGUUUCCCUUUGGAUUAAGCUUUAGUGGCUCAC
ensembl:lncRNA